UACGUAGGGUGCGAGCGUUGUCCGGAUUUAUUGGGGCGUAAAGGGCUCGUAGGCGGCGUGUCGCGUCUGCUGUGAAAACCCGAGGCUCAACCUCGGGCCUGCAGUGGGUACGGGCAGACUAGAGUGCGGUAGGGGAGAUUGGAAUUCCUGGUGUAGCGGUGGAAUGCGCAGAUAUCAGGAAGAACACCCGUGGCUAAGGCGGCUCUCUAGUACGGUACUGACGCUGAGACGCGAAAGCGUGGGGGAGCGAACAGG
rnacentral:rRNA from 1 species